NUAUAUGUAAUUUAAAAAAAAUACCAUACUGUGACUAUGAUAAUAGGAUAACUCCUCAUAUACC
rnacentral:tRNA from 1 species